GCACAUGGACAUGCAGCUGUGCAGACUGUCGGAGUGACGCCGGCAGCCUUUGUGCGAGCACGCCACAUGCUUGUUCCUCGUGACGCUCCUAGUCCUCCAGUCCACUGUCUUGUCAGUUGUCACAAGUACUAGGUGUUCUAAGAUAUGCAGGAAAACAGUUCGUUUUGUUUCAUAGCCAUGGCAGGAUGACUGAAUGGGAAGCAAGUCAAAGUGAUGGAAAACUAACGUCGGCUUUUAAAUCACAGCUGGCAGAACUGAGGCAAAGACUAGACCAUGCUGAGGCCGACAGGCAAGAACUGCAAGAUGAACUGAGACAGGAGCGGGAGGCGAGGCAGAAGCUAGAGAUGAUGAUAAAGGAACUGAAGCUGCAGAUCGUGAAGUCGUCCAAGACCGCCAAGGAGUAAGCGGAAGAGGAGACGCGCCUGUGUUUGGUUGGCAGGACUUCAUGUUUGUCACUUGCUUUGAAAAUUGAAUUCUAACAUCUUACUUGCAUGAAGGUAGCUAGGCAUUCUGUUCAUUUAUAGGGCAGCAAAAGUGAAGAUUAUAUAUUAAUAC
rnacentral:lncRNA from 1 species